UGUGGUAUGAGUUAGGUUAUAAAAAUUUGUAUUUGAAAUUAUUAUUGGUAUGAACCAGGAAAAAGCAAGAGUUUGAGAAGACAUGUUGCUGACACAAGUGCAAGAAAUAUUGCUCGAAUAUAGUUUCUGUACAGUUACAGUGCAAGCACAGAAAGAGGCUGCUCCAGACAUGCAAUGCAAGGACAAGUUUCUCCUUCAGCUUGUAAAAACCAAUGAUGGUGCAACUAUAAAGAAAAUUACUCUAGAAGUGGUACUUGCAUUACACAAUGUUGUGGAUACUGAUGUGCUGCAAAAGGAUUUUUGGAGCAGCUUGAAGCUCUGGAGAGAUCUGCAGAGGUCAGAUAUCUGGUACUUUGAACAAUAGAAGAGAGGGUGUACUUUUUGAAUUUUAAAGAAAUGGAAGCACAUGAGGAUGACAAGAACCUAACUCUCUCCCACACCUCAUUAACCCUCACUUGCAUCAAUGGAUUCAAAAUCUGAUGAUUUCAAGGGGGACUUUAUAAGUCAUCAAUUUCAUUAAUUUAAGCAACAAAUUCAUAUGAAAUGAAUGGAGAGAUGAAGUGAUUGCUGUUCACUUUCAAUUUGAUGGCCUAACAGAUCAUGAACUUGGAUCCUGGAGAACCAGCAACAGCUUAUAAAAAAAAACUUGCAGAAUUUUAUCAUCAAAUACUCGCCAAGGCUUUAGCGCAUUUCUUUCAAUCGAAGUUUCUGGUCAUAACUUAGUCAGAGCUUAGGUAAGCUUCUCUGCUAUUUUCAUAUGAUUCCCAGUUCUAUGAUGAUGAUAUAUUCAUAUUCCUAAUCAUAGUUUCCUUCUAAACAAUAAUCCUCAUUGAAUGACCUAAUUUUAUGGAUAUUUUAGCUGAAGAUAGAGUUGGAAAUUUGUUGUUUUUUUUUUUUUUUUAAUGAGAAUGUUGAUCCUGAUGAUGAAAAAUAUGACAUAGUUUUGGUGCACAUGAGUAUGCUAAGCAUUUAGCAAACAUUCUUUAUUUUUUUUAGUGCUGAUCAAUAUCUAUGCUAAAUUGAUUUCGAUGCUUGGGAAUUAUGUCUUACAAGUUUGGAAUUGUGGAUGAUUUGGAGUAUGCAAGGAUAAUUAAUGUUAUUACUCUUAGGUGGUGGGUUCCCAAAAUUAGUAAUCAAAACAAAAACCGGAGAGAAAUCUGCACCUUUAGAGGCUAAAAUCUAAAAGCUAAACUAAGAUUUAGGUUGUAAAAGUGACACGUACUGUUCAUCAAUGCAGAUAGUUCAUUACUUUUGGGUUUCCACCUAUAAAGCCUGAAGCUAUUUAGUGUAUUUUAGUUUGUUCACUGUGCGCUUCAUCCAUCUGCUGCAUAUGCUCUAAUCUCAAACCAAAUGAAACUAUUAGACCAUCGGAUCAUAGUAGACCCAUAGAUCAGACUUUGCACUGUAUGUCUUCCAGUCUGACCAAAUACUCUAUACUCUGCAAAUAUGAGACCAACUAUUUUUUGAUAAAUUAAUGGUUUGUACAUAUGAACGCCCUUUUCAUAUCAACUUUGUGCGAACCAAUUUUUUAGUUUCAUAUUAUAACGUUAACAAAUAAAAUGGAUAUAAAUUGGUCUGCUGAUUGACAGUGGGAACACCCUUCCCUAAUCUUAACGUAAUAACUCUGCCCCGCGGCAUCGCGCGGUAAUCCUUCUAGUUAUCUAU